AACGGACAGUCGACCCCGUCGACAUGCAGAUUUUUUUUGCGAAAACCCCCCUCGUGGCUGGCAAUUAUUGAGGAGAGAGAGCAGGGUCGUCAUCUCGUUCGUCGCCGGCUUGCGCGCGUGGUCCGAGACGAGUCGACGAGGAGCACGAGCGUUGUACGGAGCGCUGUGGCUCGGCGACGGCGGCGAGGAUCCGGUGAGCGCGCGGGGAAUCGUUUGGCGCCAAAGGUGCGUGCCCUCUUCCCCUGAAAAAUCCUCGCCGUGCACCGCCCCGUCCCCGUCCCCGUCCCGCGCUGCCCCGUCCUCGCCGCGCCACCACCGUCCACUACCGUGUCGCUUCUCCCACGGCCUGCAACGGAGGCAGUAGGUAGCAAUGUGCACGCGCUUCCGGCUCUCCCUCUCCCCAGCUCCGGCCAGGGGGCAUCUGGCCGCGGCCGACCCGCACAGCGCGUCCCCGCUGCCGGAGACUGUCGUCCGUAGUAGACGAGCAUCCUGCGCCCAGACUUCAACGACUCCCCAACUCCGGCCAUGAUGUGGAUCUGCCCGCCGCCGGAGACGGCCGCCUUCACGAGCGCCUAGGCUUCAACGGCAAAACGAAACCACAAGCACCUCCGGUCGCCUACAAUACUGGAGUACAGGUUUAGCUGAACAAUACUGGUACGCUAGUCUGAACUUUCACUGAAUCGAGCAACUUCAGUCGAGAAUUUUGACUGUGUUCAUUCAAUCUCCGAAUUUUGGACAAAUACCCAUACCCUAAUUUUUGGUUAGGCUGUAAAGCAGCAGCAACAACAACAUAGUUUUUUUCCCAAGCAAGUUGGGUAGGCUGGAGAUGAAACCCGAAAAAAAUAAGUUUAAGGUUCAGGCACAUUCAUAGCUAGUCUCCAAGCGUUCCUAUCCAAAGCUAUUUUUUUAGAAAUAUUCCAAUUCUCAAGGUCUCUCUUAACCGACUCAUCCCACGUCAGUUUAGGCUGUAAAACAGUUGAGAUAAUUUCCAUUAUGGCAUGAGAUGAUUUGUCAUCCUUUUUAUGUGAUUGCUUUAAUUGGUAGGCUGUAAUGUGACAUCGUACACGGUUAUAGCUGACUUCCGAAAGAAGAGGUGCAAGAUGGAGGUGUUUAGUUUGUUCAGGCUGCCACUUUGGUUCUUUCAGAUAUGUUGUUCUGAAGUGAGAGAAUGGUGUACCUUUGCCCAAAAGAGACACUGCUACUCUGCAAGAAACUAGCAUGCUUGCUUAGUCGGUAGUACAUGAUAAGGGCUGCGAAAAAAAUGUCCAGAAUACAGCAACUUCCAUAAGGAAUUUUGACUGUGUUCGUUCAGUUUAGUCUGAAUCAACUUUUCUUAUUGUUUUGGUAGAGAUUCUUGAAUCUUGAUGUUGAUCCAAACUAAAUGGUCUUGGUUGUUGAGCUUUCUGCAUCACAAUAUCAAGAAUUUCAGAUGAGAAGGAGCUGUACAACCAGUUGAGGAUAACAUAGUAAACUUGUGUACUUUCUUUUAAAUUCAGACUUUACUAUGGAAAGUCAGAAACAAGUAUAACUCUUCUCUCUCACUAUCAACUAUCUCUUGGGAAAUUUGGAAAGAUGACUCGGAGGAACUCAUUUUGAACCCAUGAAUGUUAUCUGCAUUUGUGUUACUGCAUAUGUAUGUGAAUUAGAGCACAUAUGGCAUUGUUAUGGGCGAAGAGAAAAUUAGAGCAGCAUGUCCCACGAGGGCGAUGACUUUAUUAUUAUAUCAUGUCAUGUAUUGCUAUCAAUAUAAAUAUAUAUUAUAUACAUAAUUAUUUUAAGAGUCAUUCGAAUUAUUUGAUA